rnacentral:rRNA from 1 species
CCUACGGGUGGCAGCAGUGAGGAAUAUUGGUCAAUGGACGCAAGUCUGAACCAGCCAUGCCGCGUGCAGGAAGACGGCUCUAUGAGUUGUAAACUGCUUUUGUACGAGGAUAAACGCAGAUACGUGUAUCUGUCUGAAAGUAUCGUACGAAUAAGCAUCGGCUAACUCCGUGCCAGCAGCCGCGGUAAUAUGGAGGAUUCAAGCGUUAUCCGGAUUUAUUGGGUUUAAAGGGUGCGUAGGCGGUCGGAUAAGUUAGAGGGGAAAUCCCGAGGCUCAACUUCGGACUUGCCUUUGAUACUGUUCGGCUAGAGAGUAGGUGCGGUAGGCGGAAUGUAUGGUGUAGCGGUGAAAUGCUUAGAGAUCACACAGAACACCGAUUGCGAAGGCAGCUUACCA